UGGUGGAGUGAUUUGUCUGGUUAAUUCCGUUAACGAACGAGACCGCCGCCUGCUAAAUAGUUCUACCAAUGGUUUUUCAUUGGUAAGAGCUUCUUAGAGGGACGUUCAUUCUGCAAGAUGAAGGAAGAUGGCGGCAAUAACA
rnacentral:rRNA from 1 species